rnacentral:rRNA from 1 species
UGAGGAAUAUUGGUCAAUGGACGCAAGUCUGAACCAGCCAUGCCGCGUGAAGGAUGAAGGCCUUCUGGGUUGUAAACUUCUUUUAUUGGGGAAGAAAAUUACGGUUUCUACUGUAACCGACGGUACCCAAGGAAUAAGCACCGGCUAACUCCGUGC